rnacentral:tRNA from 1 species
GCGGAAGUAGUUCAGCGGUAGAAUACAACCUUGCCAAGGUUGGGGUCGCGGGUUCGAAUCCCGUCUUCUGCUCCA